CUGGAGGGUGGUUUUGCUUAUUCCUGCCAUGCCGUGAUAAACUGCUCCCCUUCCCAGAGCUUGGCAAGCCGAGAGGGCAGGGAGUUAGUUUCAGAGCAGCACAAAUUACAGGAAACGCUCACACAAUCACUAAUGCGUUUCACAUAGCUGGGGCUGAGCUCAUACUGCAGUUAACCCAGCCAGUGCUGCUGCAGAACAAAUUCCAACCAGCAGGGACUUCAGACCCUGCAAACCCACAUAGAAGUCUAAGAGGUAUCCUAUUGAUAUGCCCAUGUGUAUCGAUGUUACUAUUUGUUUUCUAUAGAGCACACAGGCUGGAAAGCUGCCCUGCACUUUGAAAGGUCUCACCUGUGAAAUCCACCUUCCCAUACAGGUCCUGGAUCUGAGGGGCCAAUCCCAGCUUGAACAGGUACAAACUGGGAGGGGAGAGCGACAGACUGGGGUUAAACUGGGAGCACAAGAAAGCCACAUCCACCUUUAACAUACAUACUACUACUUCUGGGUCAUUGUGACAGGAUACAGGGUCUGGAGAGGAGAGGUGGAGGGUCACUCCAAUAGGAAGGAGGCUGUCUGAGUGUAUUGGGGAAUCACUGUCUCUUCAGGAAGAAAUAAAGAGACACUCAAUUCCAUUCUCAAUUCAAUAGGGAGUUCAAAUACUGUUGCUUCCCUCAGCAGAUGUCUGUAGCCUCACAGAAAGAACCACUUCCUCUCUGAUAACGACGUCACGUACUCUGCUUCCUGUGAACUGGCCCCUCCUCUCUGCGCCACAGCGUCUCCCUCACCGUGGAGACCCAGGCACAGUGUGGACGUGGUGCUGUUUGGUUUGUACACUAGCUUCUCAAACUGCUGCGUGGGAGGCAGCACCGCAGAAUGGCAUGUGGGGGCGCUGUGCUGAAGAGAGAUCUUCAGAUAUUAUACCUGAGGUCCUGUCUGCUUUGUAAACAUGAACGAUACCAGUACAGGGUAAAGGCCUUUUUGAAAACAAGCAGGUUUACCCAAAUGCUGUUUAAAUGGCUUCUUACAGCAAUACAUUGAGCUUAUUGGCUUACUUUGAGAAGCUGGUAGCUUUUAAUGCAUUUGUUUGGUUCAGACUUUAGAGUGGCAUAUUUGCUGAAUCACUUCACACAACUGUUUUCCAUGGAAAAUAAAUUGCUGGCUCAGUAAAGUUACAUUUCUAAAUCCUAGCGUAUACUUAAAUUUCUCACAUGACCAUUACUGAGUUUUCAACUCACAAACCCCACCCAACCCUGAAAAGGGACAGACCCUGUGAAGAAUAGGAACUUUAAAGAGAGCUCUACAGCAAGCUAUGUGAGCAGGAAUUUCUGAAAUGUCUCCCAGUUCAAACAGAAAUCUCAUUCGCAGGCCCUGAGGGGAGAGAUAAGGGAUACUGUGAAGAGAGCAGACCUCCCUGAUCAGGUGUGGAGAGAGAUCAGAGUAGCAGCGCAGUCUAACUGUGGCUCAUGAAAAUCUAUGGAAAUCAAUAGCCGAUGCAUCCAGCAGCCAGUUUGAACAGUCUAAUCCAGGGAAAUGAGCACAUUCAAGACAGGUCGCCCUGGCUAAAGGAACGCAGGGAAUGCACCCUCUCCCUCCUUCAUAGACACAAUACUCUGAUAGCAUUGCAGCCCUGCAAAUUCAAUUAAAUUCCUGAAGCAUUUUAGUAAAGCACAGAUGACUGCUCUGAGAUUCUACAGCCUGAGCGUAUUGGUGUCUGCAGCUCUAGUUCAGUUCAAAGGAAACUGCUGCCUGGCACUACUUUGUUGGUAGUUCAGAUCACUAAUGUUUUAACUGCAUUAAUAGUGCAGGCAGACAGGCUCUUAUCCCAAGGACUGUACCAAACACACCGCAGGCAUGCCUAAUUUAGAAGAAUUCACAUUUUCUUGUUUCCUUUCUGUUUCCGAAUUGACUUUUGUUUUUCGCUCUGUGUGUUUAACAAUUCCAAGUCAAACAUCCAAAGCCCUACAGAAGGAUUCUCCAGCAGUUGAAUCUUGAGCCACUCUCUGCUGGGGUUCACAGAGCUCCUCAACACCGCUUUGUAUGGCUCCUUUAGCUGCCUAGAAGUUUGCUGCAUGUCAUUUUGAGUUAUUUUGGGGAAAAUGAUGUCUAUAAAAAGCUCUGGUUACACUCUCCUGUGGUUAAAAAGUACCCUCCUAUCAAACUUCCCAUCUCCACUUUCCACUACUACAGCAACUGCGUCAGUAUUAGCCCUGCCAAAAUCUAUCAAAGUAAACAAAUGCAAAGCAGGUCCUCUAUGGGGACAACUAAACAAACAAACGUGUUAGGCUCUAGAAUAAAUCUAUUUCUGUAUUGCAAUUCAAUACAAUUGAGCUGUUGUCCUGCCUUCAACAGAAUGGGCACUGCAUCUGAAAUAAAACACCUGAAACAAACUGGUUUCCCUGUGCAGCUUUAUUAAUCAACCGCUUCUCCGUGCUAACUUAAAUAAAAGCACAAAUACUGCUCUAGAACACCACUACAGUA